GGAGGGAUGGAAGGAUAAGGUCAAUCCUCAAUGUUCCAGACUUCUCUCCCCUUCUUGAGCUAAUCAACAAAUUUGCCUGAAGAAAAUAUUGAACAAAAAGCUCCAGAUGGCUUCCUAGGGGUGAUGCGCUUCAGUUUGAGAUUGGGAUGUUGGCUUUCUCUAACCUGCCUUCCUUGAGUCUGGAGUUGGGUUCACAAGCAAGCAGGCCGCAGAGGACAUGGCAUUGGCCAUGUUCAACCGUGCCCUGAAGCUUUCUGGAGCAGGUCUGUGCCUCUGUGUGUGUCUUCUCUAACUUCAUCUCGCUGGAUCUAUGGAUCAUUCUGCACGUUGGGCUUGUUGCUGGCUACUAGCCUGGCUUGUAAGAGGAUGCUCCCCUGCUCUGAGUCCAAGAUACUGAGGGAAAGUACAUAUCCAGAGGCACCAAUUGGGAGAGGUACAACAUAUGCAUUUCAAAGAGAACUGGAAGAGCUAGCACCAAAGAGCCCCAACUCACCUCCACAAUCAAGUUCUACAUGCAAUUCACGGAUAGUGGUUGUCGGCACAUCUUUUAACCAAGUCACCUCCAUUGAUCCUUUUGUUGACAAGCAGCUAGACCCAAGACCCAAGCGUUUCCCAUGGUAGAUCGGUUUGGCCCUGUUGUGCUACCUAACUGAUUUUGAAUCAGCCGCCGUCGCAAGACCUUCCACAGCUAGACCUUGACGGCGCCAGCCGUAUGGACAUCCAGCUCAACGAUCUUUCAAAAUGGUUAUUCAUGUCUGGUUGCGUCUGGCGGGCAACGCGCGGCAAGUCGUGCCACCUAUAAUUGAAGCAUCGUUCAUGGUCAGGCUAGAACUACAUAAUAUUGUUGCUCGAACUGCAGCCAGCAGGUAACUGCUGAGGAUGUUUAAAAAAGACAUCACCAAUAGCAGAGCACUCUAUUGCUGCAAUUACAUGCAGGUACAAAAUUGAUGCCCACUUUGGGAUCUCCCUUGUGGCCUUUCCUACAAUCAUAAGAGCUACCAAGAGACGCAAUUGCUUUUAGUUAUCCCCUUCAGAAUACUAAUUAUUGAUGUAAUGUAGAAGAAUAUCUCUUCAAAUUUAAGAGGAGCUUGGUACUAUUUUUUCUGAUGGACUUUCUUUAUGAGGAUCAAAAGAUUUGUCUCUGAUGGCUUUUCUUACAAGUUCCCAGCCAUUUUGUCACCCUCCUCUCCUAUCAUUAAAAAUAGGACAGAGUUUCGCGAUCAGCAACCUGAGGCGCCACUGACAGUAUUAUCAGCUGCCAUUCAGCGGCCAAUGAUGCACAAUGGCACAAGUGACAUCAUCUUCGAUUUUUUCUUCUGUUCAUUGCCAUAAAAAAUUAGCAGGCUGCAUUUGAGCUUGUAAUAUUCAUUUGAUGUUUCAACUAAUGGGUUUUAUACAAUGUAUUGUUGGAGAUUGGAUUGCAAAAACAUGAGAAAAUAACUUCUGACUGGAUGACAACAAUGUCGACCUUUUUGGAGAGAAAAUUGAACCGGAUUAGGCGGCAGCUGAAGAGCAUGCUGCGAAAGUGAAGGGUUCUGGCAAGAAGAAAGAAUGUAUGUUAUCUUACAUUCUUUCUAUUUUGAAGAUUGCCUUGAGUGUGAAAGAUACUGAGCAUGGACCUAUGUUCUUAUUAAUAGCUCUUGCUGCCUGUAGUACCAUAUAGAUAGAAAAUAGCUAUCAUUUCUAAUGAAAUGAUAAGAUUUCUUGAUCUUCAAUAAUGAUGUGUACAUAAAUAGUACUAAACUCGAUGCUGCCUUAUGAUA